UACGAAGGGGGCUAGCGUUGUUCGGAAUUACUGGGCGUAAAGGGCGCGCAGGCGGCUGCUCAAGUCAGGCGUGAAAGGCCUGGGCUCAACCCGGGAAUUGCGCUUGAGACUGGGCUGGCUUGAGUGCGGGAGAGGAUGGUGGAAUUCCCAGUGUAGAGGUGAAAUUCGUAGAUAUUGGGAAGAACACCGGUGGCGAAGGCGGCCAUCUGGACCGCAACUGACGCUGAGGCGCGAAAGCGUGGGGAGCAAAAGGG
rnacentral:rRNA from 1 species